GGUAUUUAUGAAAUUAAUACACAUUAUAAAAAUACACAUGGUUUUCCGUGUUUUGAUAAAAGGAUUGGCAUAAUUCUUGUUGAAGCCUUUUUGGUAGAGAAAUGCUCAUAUAAUCCAUGACCUUGAAAA